rnacentral:lncRNA from 10 species
CACACCUGGACUUCUUGCAGGUGAUAUGCUCCUGCCUUGCCAUCUGUCAUGAUUGAAAGCUUCCUGAAGCCCUCACUAGGAGCAGAUGCCAGCACCAUGCUUCUCAUACAGCCUGCAGAACCACGAGCCAAAAUAAAUCUCUUUUCUUUAUAAAUUACCCAGCCUCAGGUAUUUCUUUAUUUUUUCUUUUUUUCUUUUCUUUCUUUUUUUUUUUUUUUUUUUUUUUUUUUUUUUGAGACGGAGUCUCACUCUGUUGCCCAGGCUCUGUAGUGCAGUGGCGCAAAUCUCGGCUCACUACAACCUCCACCUCCCAAACUUAAGCAAUUCUCCUGCCUUGGCCUCCCGAGUAGCUGGGAUUACAGGCAUGUGCCACCACGCCCAGCUAAUUUUUAUAUUUUUAUUUUUAGUAGAGACGGGGUUGGGCACCAUAUUGCCCAGGCUGGUCUUGAACUCCUG